ACGAACGCUGGCGGCGCGCCUAACACAUGCAAGUCGAACGAGAGAUGAGGAGCUUGCUCUUCAAAUCGAGUGGCGAACGGGUGAGUAACGCGUGAGGAACCUGCCUCAAAGAGGGGGACAACAGUUGGAAACGACUGCUAAUACCGCAUAAGCCCACGGCUCGGCAUCGAGCAGAGGGAAAAGGAGUGAUCCGCUUUGAGAUGGCCUCGCGUCCGAUUAGCUGGUUGGUGAGGUAACGGCCCACCAAGGCGACGAUCGGUAGCCGGACUGAGAGGUUGAACGGCCACAUUGGGACUGAGACACGGCCCAGACUCCUACGGGAGGCAGCAGUGGGGAAUAUUGCACAAUGGGGGAAACCCUGAUGCAGCGACGCCGCGUGGAGGAAGAAGGUCUUCGGAUUGUAAACUCCUGUUGUUGAGGAAGAUAAUGACGGUACUCAACAAGGAAGUGACGGCUAACUACGUGCCAGCAGCCGCGGUAAAACGUAGGUCACAAGCGUUGUCCGGAAUUACUGGGUGUAAAGGGAGCGCAGGCGGGAGGACAAGUUGGAAGUGAAAUCCAUGGGCUCAACCCAUGAACUGCUUUCAAAACUGUUUUUCUUGAGUAGUGCAGAGGUAGGCGGAAUUCCCGGUGUAGCGGUGGAAUGCGUAGAUAUCGGGAGGAACACCAGUGGCGAAGGCGGCCUACUGGGCACCAACUGACGCUGAGGCUCGAAAGUGUGGGUAGCAAACAGGAUUAGAUACCCUGGUAGUCCACACCGUAAACGAUGAUUACUAUGUGUUGGAGGAUUGACCCCUUCAGUGCCGCAGUUAACACAAUAAGUAAUCCACCUGGGGAGUACGACCGCAAGGUUGAAACUCAAAGGAAUUGACGGGGGCCCGCACAAGCAGUGGAGUAUGUGGUUUAAUUCGACGCAACGCGAAGAACCUUACCAAGUCUUGACAUCCCUUGACGAACAUAGAAAUAUGUUUUCUCUUCGGAGCAAGGAGACAGGUGGUGCAUGGUUGUCGUCAGCUCGUGCCGUGAGGUGUCGGCUUAAGUGCCAUAACGAGCGCAACCCUUGCUGCCAGUUACUAACAGGUCAUGCUGAGGACUCUGGAGAGACUGCCGUCGUAAGAUGUGAGGAAGGUGGGGAUGACGUCAAAUCAUCAUGCCCUUUAUGACUUGGGCUACACACGUACUACAAUGGCGUUAAACAAAGAGAAGCAAGACCGCGAGGUGGAGCAAAACUCAGAAACAACGUCCCAGUUCGGACUGCAGGCUGCAACUCGCCUGCACGAAGUCGGAAUUGCUAGUAAUCGUGGAUCAGCAUGCCACGGUGAAUACGUUCCCGGGCCUUGUACACACCGCCCGUCACACCAUGAGAGCCGGGGGGACCCGAAGUCGGUAGUCUAACCGCAAGGAGGACGCCGCCGAAGGUAAAACUGGUGAUUGGGGUG
rnacentral:rRNA from 1 species